rnacentral:rRNA from 1 species
CCUACGGGUGGCAGCAGUGGGGAAUAUUGGACAAUGGGGGCAACCCUGAUCCAGCCAUGCCGCGUGUGUGAAGAAGGCCCUCGGGUUGUAAAGCACUUUCAGUGAGGAAGAACGCCUGGUGGUUAAUACCCAUCAGGAAAGACAUCACUCACAGAAGAAGCACCGGCUAACUCCGUGCCAGCAGCCGCGGUAAUACGGAGGGUGCGAGCGUUAAUCGGAAUUACUGGGCGUAUAGCGCGCGUAGGUGGCUUGAUAAGCCGGUUGUGAAAGCCCCGGGCUCAACCUGGGAACGGCAUCCGGAACUGUCAAGCUAGAGUGCAGGAGAGGAAGGUAGAAUUCCCGGUGUAGCGGUGAAAUGCGUAGAGAUCGGGAGGAAUACCAGUGGCGAAGGCGGCCUUCUGGACUGACACUGACACUGAGGUGCGAAAGCGUGGGUAGCAAACAGGAUUAGAUACCCCUGUAGUC